rnacentral:rRNA from 1 species
GCACAUGAUGGUGCGGCAGACGGGGUAAUGCAGAGGGUGCAAGUGUUGAUCGGUGUUACUGGGGGUAAAGGGGGCGGAUGUGGUGAUAUGAGUAUGAUGGUAAAUGCCCGGGCUGAACCGUGGAAUGGCAUCGCAAACGAUAUGACUAGAGUACAUGAGAGGGUGGCGGAAUUUACGGUGUAGCGGUGAAAUGCGUAGAGAUCGGAAGGACCGUCAAUGGCGAAGGCAGCCACCUGGCAUGAUACUGACGCUGAGGCGCGAAAGCGUGGGGAGCGAACAGGAUUAGUUACCCCAGUAGUC